CCUACGGGGCGCAGCAGUGGGGGAUAUUGCACAAUGGGGGGAACCCUGAUGCAGCGACGCCGCGUGGGUGAAGAAGCGCCUCGGCGCGUAAAGCCCUAUCGGCAGGGAAGAAGCAAGACGGUACCUGACUAAGAAGCCCCGGCUAACUACGUGCCAGCAGCCGCGGUAAUACGUAGGGGGCGAGCGUUAUCCGGAUUCACUGGGUGUAAAGGGAGCGUAGACGGCCAUGCAAGCCAGGGGUGAAAGCCCGGGGCCCAACCCCGGGACUGCCCUUGGAACUGUGCGGCUAGAGUGCGGGAGGGGCG
rnacentral:rRNA from 1 species